UACGGGGGGAGCAAGCGUUGUUCGGAUUUACUGGGCGUAAAGGGCGCGUAGGCGGCGUGACAAGUCACUUGUGAAAUCUCCGGGCUUAACUCGGAACGGUCAAGUGAUACUGUCGUGCUAGAGUACAGAAGGGGCAACUGGAAUUCUCGGUGUAGCGGUGAAAUGCGUAGAUAUCGGAAGGAACAUCAGUGGCGAAAGCGACUUCCUGGACCAAUACUGACGCUCAUGUGCGAAAGCGUGGGGAGCAAACAGG
rnacentral:rRNA from 1 species